GACGAACGCUGGCGGCGUGCCUAAUACAUGCAAGUCGAACGAACGGAGGAAGAGCUUGCUCUUCCAAAGUUAGUGGCGGACGGGUGAGUAACACGUGGGCAACCUGCCUGUAAGUUGGGGAUAACUCCGGGAAACCGGGGCUAAUACCGAAUAAUAAGUGGUGGCGCAUGCCACGGCUUUGAAAGAUGGUUUCGGCUAUCGCUUACAGAUGGGCCCGCGGUGCAUUAGCUAGUUGGUAGGGUAAUGGCCUACCAAGGCAACGAUGCAUAGCCGACCUGAGAGGGUGAUCGGCCACACUGGGACUGAGACACGGCCCAGACUCCUACGGGAGGCAGCAGUAGGGAAUCUUCCGCAAUGGACGAAAGUCUGACGGAGCAACGCCGCGUGUAUGAAGAAGGUUUUCGGAUCGUAAAGUACUGUUGUUAGAGAAGAACAAGGAUAAGAGUAACUGCUUGUCCCUUGACGGUAUCUAAC
rnacentral:rRNA from 1 species